UGCUGGAAUUCUUUAUGCGUGAAAUGGAUUCGUCUGCCCAAGGAUGGGUCUGCGGCCUAUCAGGUAGUAGUGGGUGUAAUGUACCUACUAGCCGACGACGGGUACGGGUUGUGAGAGCAAGAGCCCGGAGAUGGAUUCUGAGACAUGAAUCCAGGCCCUACGGGGCGCAGCAGGCGCGAAAACUUUACAAUGCGGGAAACCGUGAUAAGGGGACACCGAGUGCCAGCAUUAUAUGUUGGCUGUCCGGGUGUGUAAAAUACACCUGUUAGCAAGGGCCGGGCAGACCGGUGCCAGCCGCCGCGGUAACACCGGCGGCCCGAGUGGUGAUCGUGUUUAUUGGGUCUAAAGGGUCCGUAGCCGGUUUGGUCAGUCCUCCGGGAAAUCUGACGGCUUAACCGUUAGGCUUUCGGGGGAUACUGCCAGACUUGGAACCGGGAGAGGUAAGAGGUACUACAGGGGUAGGAGUGAAAUCUUGUAAUCCCUGUGGGACCACCUGUGGCGAAGGCGUCUUACCAGAACGGGUUCGACGGUGAGGGACGAAAGCUGGGGGCACGAACCGGAUUAGAUACCCGGGUAGUCCCAGCCGUUAACGAUGCUCGCUAGGUGUCAGGCAUGGCGCGACCGUGUCUGGUGCCGCAGGGAAGCCGUGAAGCGAGCCACCUGGGAAGUACGGCCGCAAGGCUGAAACUUAA
rnacentral:rRNA from 1 species